CCUACGGGUGGCAGCAGUGAGGAAUAUUGGUCAAUGGGCGCAGGCCUGAACCAGCCAAGUCGCGUGAGGGACGACUGCCCUAUGGGUUGUAAACCUCUUUUAUAAGGGGACAAUAAUGACUACGUGUAGUCAGACGCCCAUACUUUAUGAAUAAGCAUCGGCUAACUCCGUGCCAGCAGCCGCGGUAAUACGGAGGAUGCGAGCGUUAUCCGGAUUUAUUGGGUUUAAAGGGUGCGUAGGCGGUAUUUUAAGUUAGUGGUAAAACGUCGGGGCUUAACCUUGGUUGGCCAUUGAAACUGGAGGACUAGAGUACAGGAGAGGUAGGCGGAAUGAG
rnacentral:rRNA from 1 species